ensembl:lncRNA
GCGGAGUGACGGGGCAAUAUGCUUUUAAAUGGAAUAAGGAACAAGCGGAGACGUUUAUAUGUCUCCGUUUAGAAAAACAGCAGCUGUUUACCGGGGGGAAGGACACCGCGGCCAAUGGAUAUCGGUGAGAAGCUACACUAUUGUUUAAUGUUCAGAAGUAAUAGCUGUGUAACCUGCUUUUUAUUCCCCCCUCAUUCACACAGGCUUAUUUUGGAGAAGAUGGGGAUCGGAGGGAGGGUCACACACGCCCAGGCCAAGAAGAAGUAGGACAAUCUGAAGACCAAGUACAAGAGGUGCCUCAUGAAAUGCAGACACCUCGUUGGUCAGCGCGGCUCGCCAAGCAGCUCCACUCCGGCUCUCCCCACCAUCGCGCUCCAGAGGUAGCUGGUUGUCAUUGUCCUCCACAGCCUCUUCCAGCUCAUCCCCAACACCAACACAAAUGUUGUGUAAAAUUACACACGCCGUCACCACCUGUGCACAAGGAAGAGCAAAAGAAGACAAGACUUUGUUGAGCAAAAGAAGACAAGACUUUGUUGAGAUAUGAAAAAAACAGAUGUAGUGUGACUUUAGCAGUUGAAACGUUUAACUGUUGUUUUUGAGUAGAAUAUUAUGAUUUGAUUAAGACAUUUAUUACAGAAAUAUUGCAAUGAUUUAUUACCUUAGGGACAAACACUGGAUGUACUGGAAGUGCUUCUAAAAAGAUGCACCUGAAGCGGGUUUUCAUCAUUCCAAAGGAACGCUCAAUGAUUGUGCGACCUCUGGAAUGAUGAUAAUUAAACCGUUGCUCUGCCAUGCCUCUCACUGGCCUCUUAUAUGGUGUGAUAAGGGAUACCCAGGUGGAGGGUAAGUCCCCCUAGUGUAGAUGGGGCUGUUCUUUAGGAUGCGUGCAUCAUGCACACCUGGGUAACCCACAAUGAUGGUCACAGACUGCCUGGAGCACCACAGAGGGGAAGAGUUUCCUGUUGUUGUAGUCGUGACCAUCAGGGCCGCCAGGACAUUUAAUACGGAUGUGGCAACCAUCCACUGCCCCUGCUGCCUUCUCAAAUGCCCGGUGAUGAGCCAGCCGGGCAAAGCCAU